CUUAACAAAAAAGAAAAGAACACACCAAAAAAAAGAAAAGAAAAAGGAGAGAGAGAGAGAGAGAGAGAGAGAGAGAGAGAGGGAGAGAGAGAGAGUAGUUUAUAGAGCUAAGCUUCAAACUAUUACCAAUCUCCAAACCGACCGGGCAAUGGCAUGUUAGACAGCCAUGACUAAUGAAUACUUACAGAAAUUAAUAUUACAAUCUCCAAUCACAAACUAAUUAAAACUCAAAGUUUCAUUUUCUCUGGCUUGCUUUUCCUCACAGUCUACUUUGGCAGGAUGGUUCUUCUUGGACCCCCAGAAGAAGCAACCGCUAGGGUUCUUACCUUUCUUCUCACCAGCAACAAUCCCUCUCUCUGCUUGCUCUAAUCUCUCCAUCUUUUCCUUGUGUAGCUUUCGCAUCACAUAAGCUUGCGCAAGACCAGUAUCAAUUGCAGCCAUUGCUAGAUAUUAUCUAUAGAGUGAGACAGACCAGAGAGGAAUAUUUAAUUAAAGGUAGAACAAGUAUUUAAAAUGUAUAGAACUGGAGGUGAAGAGGGAAGAGAGAAUCGGG
rnacentral:lncRNA from 1 species